rnacentral:tRNA from 1 species
GCCUUUGUGGUGUAGUGGUCAGCACGCUUGACGCGUAUUCGAGAGGUCCGUGGUUCGAGUCCCGACGAAGGCA